CUUAAGCAUAUUAAUAAGCGGUGGAAAAGAAACCAACAGGGAUUCCCUUAGUAACGGCGAGUGAAGAGGGAGGCAGCCCAGCGCUGAAUCGUUUUGCUUGUAAGAGUGAAACGACAUGUAGCGUGAAGCAGGCAAUUUGUAGCUGUUAUCAAUGCGUGUAAGUCUCCGUGAGCGGGGCUUAGUCCCAGAGAUGGUGCAAGGCCCGUAUCGCGCGCGAUAAGUACAGCUACAUCUGCUUGCAGAGAGUCAGGUUGUUUGGGAACACAAUCUAAAGCCGGUGGUACACUCCAUCGAAGGCUAAAUAUUACCACGAGUCCGAUAGCGAACAAGUACCGUGAGGGAAAAUUGAAAAGCACUUUGAAGAGAGAGCGAAACAGUGCGUGAAACCGCUCAGAGGCAAGCAGAUGGGACCUCGAAGGUGUGUGAAAGUGUGUGUAUAAACAUUUUAUCGCACGCCACCACUGUUGUUGACGUGCGCCAUGCGCUAACACUUGGACGCCUGAGAUUGGGACUUGUGCCUGCUUGGGACGCUCGGUGUUGGAUGCUAUGAGUGUUCGCGGCAUGCAAUAACAGAGCAGGGCUUCUGUCGUCGCUUUAAAAGCGCCCGGCUGUGGCUGCUUGCUGACGUACCUUGUGUAGACGAGUGACGCAAGUCUUCGAUGCACGUUGUAUGUUGCAACUCGGCUAUUAGCACCGGCAAGACGACGUUAAAGACCCGGUGGCGAGUAGACGGUAUCCCAUCUAACCCGUCUUGAAACACGGGACCAAAGGGA
rnacentral:rRNA from 1 species